rnacentral:rRNA from 1 species
AUCCACGGAUUCCCUAGUAGCGGCGAGCGAAGCGGGAAGAGCUCAAAUUUAUAAUCUGGCACCUUCGGUGUCCGAGUUGUAAUCUCUAGAAGUGUUUUCCGCGUUGGACCGCACACAAGUCUGUUGGAAUACAGCGGCAUAGUGGUGAAACCCCCGUAUAUGGUGCGGACGCCCAGCGCUUUGUGAUACACUUUCAAUGAGUCGAGUUGUUUGGGAAUGCAGCUCAAAUUGGGUGGUAAAUUCCAUCUAAAGCUAAAUAUUGGCGAGAGACCGAUAGCGAACAAGUACCGUGAGGGAAAGAUGAAAAGCACUUUGGAAAGAGAGUUAACAGUACGUGAAAUUGUUGGAAGGGAAACGCUUGAAGUCAGACUUGCUUGCCGGAGCUUGCUUCGGUUUGCAGGCCAGCAUCAGUUUUCCGGGGUGGAUAAUGACGGUUUGAAGGUAGCAGUCUCGGCUGUGUUAUAGCUUUCCGUUGGAUACAUCCUGGGGGACUGAGGAACGCAGCGUGCUUUUUGCGAAAGACUCGUCUUUUUCACGCUUAGGAUGCUGGUGGAAUGGCUUUAAACGACCCGUCUUGAAACACGGACCA